AAAAGGAGAUAGAACAUUCAAGCUUGUUUUGCUCAGUAUCCUUUCCCUUUUUGCUCUUCACACACACUAGCUGGGAACCUUUACGUGUACAGUAUUUAUUUUGUAUUAUACUAGUAAUUACAAAGUUACCUAUGAGGCUAGAGAGGCAGCCAAGAUAAGGAGCACAUCUGACUGUGAUCUGCAGUGACUGGUAUUUACUGCAUAUCAAAUAUUGUCCCAGAAUGAUUCUCCCACUUAGAAACAUCUGAGCACCUAAGACCUUUUAAUAUAAGCCAAAUACCAGCUCUUUUGAUUUUAAUUUCAUCUUUAUGCUCUCUUACUAUUCCUA
ensembl:misc_RNA